CUGCCCAGUGAUCAGUGACAUGAUUUAACGGCCGCGGUACCCUAACCGUGCAAAGGUAGCAUAAUCAUUUGCUCUAUAAUUGAGGGCUUGUAUGAAUGGUUUGACAAGAACAAUACUGUCUCUUAAAAAUUCACUAAAAUUUGGUUUUUAGGUGAAGAAACCUAAAUAAAAUUGAAAGACAAGAAGACCCUAUCGAGCUUAAAAAAUACGUUAACUAUAUAGAAAAACUAAAAUUAACGAAAAAAUUUGGUUGGGGCGACUGAGGAACAAAUAAAGCUUCCUUUAAUAUAAAAAACUUAUAUGUGUUGAUCCAAAGUAUUUGAUUAAAAAAAUUAGUUACCGUAGGGAUAACAGCAUAAUCUUUUUAGAGAGAACAUAUCAAAAAAAAGGUUUGUGACCUCGAUGUUGGACUAGGAUAUCCUAAUAGAUUGCAGAAGUCUUUAAAGG
rnacentral:rRNA from 1 species